rnacentral:lncRNA from 1 species
UGAUCAGUAUAGCCGACAGGUUAACAUCAGAGAGAAUCCAGUUUUUCAUUUAUAAUUCUAAUAAAUUGGCACAAUUUUCGAAGUUUAGAUUUCUGUUUUUGGUUCAUAAUAGCAUUAAAUUUUAAAACAUUCAAGUUCGUUAGGUAUUUCUUGUCAAUAAGUAGUGUUCUAUCUGUCAAGAGACUGCUGCAUUCCAUUACAUAGUGGUAUUCGUCACCUAUAGCAACUCUGCACAACGGACACUUUCUCUGUUCUCGGGGAAUGUUUUGCCAUCUACCAUUUUCAAUUGGCAGUUUAUGGUUCAUUGUCCUAAACCGCGACAUUGUUAUUACAUCUUUAUCAUCAAGUACAUUAAGGUAGUGUUCGAAAUUGUGUGAUGUCUUGUAUAGGCG